rnacentral:rRNA from 1 species
GUGAGUAACACGUGGAUGAUCUACCCUCUGGUGAGGAAUACCCCUGGGAAACCGGGAAUAAUACCGCAUAAGCUCGAGAGAGGAAAGCAGCAAUGCGCCGGAAGAGGAGUCCGCGGCCGAUUAGCUAGUUGGCAGGGUAAAAGCCUACCAAGGCGAAGAUCGGUAGCCGGCCUGAGAGGGCACACGGCCACACUGGCACUGAAACACGGGCCAGACUCCUACGGGAGGCAGCAGUGGGGAAUCUUGCACAAUGGGGGAAACCCUGAUGCAGCGACGCCGCGUGAGCGAUGAAGCCCUUCGGGGUGUAAAGCUCCUUCGGCAGGGAAGAUGAUGACGGUACCUGCAGAAGCAGCUGCGGCUAACUACGUGCCAGCAGCCGCGGUAAUACGUAGGCAGCAAGCGUUGUUCGGAGUUACUGGGCGUAAAGGGUGUGUAGGCGGUUGUUUAAGUUUGGUGUGAAAUCUCCCGGCUCAACUGGGAGGGUGCGCCGAAUACUGAAUGACUCGAGUGCGGGAGAGGAGAGUGGAAUUCCUGGUGUAGCGGUGAAAUGCGUAGAUAUCAGGAGGAACACCGGUGGUGUAGACGGCUCUCUGGACCGUAACUGACGCUGAGACACGAAAGCGUGGGUAGCAAACAGGAUUAGAUACCCUGGUAGUCCACGCCCUAAACGAUGCAUAUUUGGUGUGGGCCGUUCAGUCGGUCCGUGCCGGAGCUAACGCGUUAAAUAUGCCGCCUGGGGAGUACAGUCGCAAGGCUGAAACUCAAAGGAAUUGACGGGGGCCCGCACAAGCGGUGGAGCAUGUGGUUCAAU